UCAAGUAUCCAUACGCCAAUCCAUAACGUAUGGAAGGGAACCGGGGGAACUGAAACAUCUAAGUACCCCGAGGAGAAGAAAGAAACCUCGAUUUCCAAAGUAGCGGCGAGCGAAAUGGAAAGAGCCCAAACCGUGGUGCGUGCACCGCGGGGUUGUGGACUGCAUAAGGUACUCGAAUCAAUAGCCGAACAGUUUUGGGAAAUCUGAUCAGAGAGGGUGAAAAUCCCGUAGGCGAAAUUGAUGAGAGGCUGGCAGGAUCCAGAGUACCACGAGACACGGGAAACCUUGUGGGAAGCAGGAGGGACCACCCUCCAAGGCUAAAUACUCCUCAGUGACCGAUAGCGCAUAGUACUGUGAAGGAAAGGUGAAAAGGACCCCGGGAGGGGAGUGAAAGAGAACCUGAAACCCUGUGUUUACAAGCUGUGGAAGUGCCUUAUGUGCACAACCGCGUACUUUUUGUAGAACGGUCCGGCGAGUUACGUUUACUGGCAAGGUUAAGUACUAUAGGUACGGAGCCGAAGGGAAACCAAGUCUUAAGAGGGCGUGAAGUCAGUAAGAGUAGACCCGAAACCGGGUGAUCUACCCAUGUCCAGGCUGAAGCUGCCGUAAGAGGUAGUGGAGGGCCGAACGCACAUCCGUUGAAAAGGGUGGCGAUGAGGUGUGGGUAGGGGAGAAAUUCCAAUCGAACCCGGAGAUAGCUGGUUCUCCUCGAAAUAGCUUUAGGGCUAGCCUCGAUGGAGUCUUACGGAGGUAGAGCACUGAAUUUCUAAGGGGGCGUCAAAGCUUACCAAGGGAUAUCAAACUCCGAAUGCCGUAAAGAUGCUCAUCGGGAGUCAGACUGCACGAGAUAAGUUGGGCAGUCAAAAGGGAAAGAGCCCAGACCUGCUGCUAAGGUCCCAAAGUACGUGUUAAGUGGAAAAGGAUGUGGGAUUUCGAAGACAACUAGGAUGUUGGCUCAGAAGCAGCCACACAUUCAAAGAGUGCGUAAUAGCUCACUAGUCGAGAGGUCCUGCGCCGAAAAUGUCCGGGGCUGAAACACGACACCGAAGCUUAGGAAUCACAUAGUGAUUGGUAGAGGAGCAUUCUUAAAACCGACGAAGCUGUACCGGAAGGAGCAGUGGAGGGAUAAGAAGAGAGAAUGCCGGAAUGAGUAGCGAGAGAGAGGUGGGAAUCCUCUCGGCCGAAUAUCCAAGGUUUCCAGGGUAAAGCUGAUCUGCCCUGGGUAAGUCGGGGCCUAAGGAGAGGCAGAAAUGCGUAUCCGAUGGACAGCAGGUUGAGAUUCCUGCACUAUCUUAAAACAGAACUGUGGGGACAUUUGUGGAGAGCACAGGCGCGGAACGGAAAGCCGCGUGCAAGCGAAGGAGGAGUCACAUAGGAAAAACCGUGUGGCAAUCCAAAGGCGUGAUGCGGACCGAACUAGAGUAGGGAAGUGUGUGAGCCAUGAAUCAAGAAAAGCCGCUAUUGUUUUUAAGAUACCCGUACCGUAAACCGACACAGGUGGAUGAGGAGAGAAUCCUAAGGCCGGCGGAAGAAGCAUUGUUAAGGAACUCGGCAAAAUGACCCCGUAACUUCGGGAGAAGGGGUGCCACAGAAAUGUGGCCGCAGAGAAUAGGCUCAAGCAACUGUUUAGCAAAAACACAGGUCUAUGCAAAACCGUAAGGUGAGGUAUAUGGGCUGACGCCUGCCCGGUGCUGGAAGGUUAAGAGGAGAGGUUAGCGCAAGCGAAGCUUUGAAUUUAAGCCCCAGUAAACGGCGGCCGUAACGAUAACGGUCCUAAGGUAGCGAAAUUCCUUGUCGGGUAAGUUCCGACCCGCACGAAAGGCGUAAUGAUUUGAGCGCUGUCUCGACAAUGCAUCCGGUGAAAUUGAAGUACCAGUGAAGAUGCUGGUUACCCGCGCCAGGACGGAAAGACCCCAUGGAGCUUUACUCCAGUUUGGUACUGGGGUCCGGCAGUGCAUGUACAGGAUAGGUGGGAGGCUGUGAACCUGGAACGCCAGUUUCAGGGGAGCCGGUGUUGGGAUACCACCCUUGUGCUGCUGGGCUUCUAACCAGCGGCCUUUAUCAGGCCGGGGGACAAUGCCAGACGGGGAGUUUGACUGGGGCGGUCGCCUCCGAAAGGGUAUCGGAGGCGCUCAAAGGUUCCCUCAGAAUGGUCGGAAACCAUUCGAAGAGUGCAAAGGCAGAAGGGAGCUUGACUGCGACACCGACG
rnacentral:rRNA from 1 species